rnacentral:rRNA from 1 species
ACUUGGGGAUAACCUUGCGAAAGUAAGACUAAUACCCAAUGAUAUCCCACGAAGGCAUCGGAAUGGGAUUAAGAUUUAUCGGUGAUGGAUGGGGAUGCGUCUGAUUAGCUUGUUGGCGGGGUAACGGCCCACCAAGGCGACGAUCAGUAGGGGUUCUGAGAGGAAGGUCCCCCACAUUGGAACUGAGACACGGUCCAAACUCCUACGGGAGGCAGCAGUGAGGAAUAUUGGUCAAUGGGACGAGAGUCUGAACCAGCCAAGUAGCGUGCAGGAAGACGGCCCUAUGGCUUGUAAACUGCUUUUAUAAGGGAAUAAAGUUAGUCUCGUGAGACUUUUUGCAUGUACCUUAUGAAUAAGGACCGGCUAAUUCCGUG